AUCCAAGAUGUCAGGGAAUAAUGAGCUCUCUGAAAGGUCUAAAGUUGAUUUUGCUUCAGACUAUCAGAAAGACGCUGGAGAGACAUCAGCACAGGCCUGGAGGGGAGCAAAUACAUACAUCGCUUAUAGAAACACCAAAAAUUCUUACAUGAUUUUUGGAAUAGACUGGACUCCAGGGAUAGUUUUAGAAGGAGACCGCCAGGCUCAUGGUGUUGCUAGCAGGAGGCAAAAGAUACAAAGCAAUGGGACAGGCAUAAUGGAAGAUGGAAAUACUAGACCAAUAUGUCUCUCUGAAAAGCUUCUAAUUUAAAAUAAGAAAUAAUGUGCACACAAGAAAAGGCAAUACAAGUAGAAUUGUCUUCUUAAAUGCCUUUAUUUACAAAGGUGUGUUAUUUCUCUAGUGCCUUGAUUGCUAUUUAUAUGCCUUAUUGAUUAAUGUAUAAUAAAUUUUGUUCAGUGUAUAUGCAAAUACAAAUUGGUUAGAACUAUGCCUGUAUUUUCAGUUCUCACUCCAAAGCUUUCAAGAUUUUUACAAGUGAAUUCACAUAAUUUCCCAGUUAUUUAUACCUUUU
rnacentral:lncRNA from 1 species